rnacentral:rRNA from 1 species
UACGUAGGGUGCAAGCGUUGUCCGGAAUUAUUGGGCGUAAAGAGCUUGUAGGUGGUUUGUCGCGUCUGCUGUGAAAUUUCGGGGCUCAACCCCGAACUUGCAGUGGGUACGGGCAGACUAGAGUGUGGUAGGGGAGACUGGAAGUUCCUGGUGUAGCGGUGAAAUGCGCAGAUAUCAGGAGGAACACCGAUGGCGAAGGCAGGUCUCUGGGCCAUAACUGACGCUGAGAAGCGAAAGCAUGGGGAGCGAACAGG